rnacentral:lncRNA from 1 species
UUGCCAAUUAUGUUGUCUAGUAUUAUUGAGAAUUAGUUUUGACGAACAUCAAUAUGAGCUCAGAUUUCAUAGAAAUUGCAGUGUAACACGUGAUAUAGAAUGUUUGAGAUAUAAAGCGAGGUCUUGCUAUGACCUGGGAUUGGCACUUAAACGUCACAGAAUAUCUUUAUAAAUUGAGGCAAUUCCAAUAAUGACUUUAGCUUCAUUAGAAAUUGUCAGGGAUCACAGCUGACUUCGUUCUUUAUUUCGGAUUCAGAGAAUACUAAAAUAUAGAAAAAAUGAACAGAUUAUACUUUUUCGUGCUUGCCGCAGCAGGUGCUUCUCUCCUCAGUUCUUGCCUAUCCAAAAAAGAACACGAAAAAUUUGUGUAUAACUAAAUGUGACAGAAGACUCGAAUUUUGUGAGUACAAGUGUACAAGAUGGUUUGGUGAAGAUCGCACUGGGGAAGACCCUUUCCAAUUCAAAAGGUGCCUGGACGAUUGUGCAGCUGUUUAUCUGUACGACUGCUUCAGCGGCUUGCGACCUCACAAAAUAUUGACUACAUCAAUGGUUUAAUCAAUAAACAUUACAAAAGAGAUCAAAUAAUUUUAGAAUUUCACUUUAAUUUAGAAUUUUAUGUUUGACGUUUCGCCUGUGAUAAUAUUCCGCAACAAAACAUGCCUAUUCUAUUUCGUAGUACUUUGUUUAUAGGCUCAUGCGUUUGCGGUGUUGCAGAUAUUUAUAAUUAUUCUGGGUUCACCCUUAGAGGAUGUAUGAAACAUUCAUUGACAAAAAGAAUAAAAUGGCUUAAGCUUUUGUACUCAGGAUUGAAAAAAAUGAUUAAAGCUUCCCCGAAAGAUA